UACGUAGGGUGCAAGCGUUGUCCGGAAUUAUUGGGCGUAAAGAGCUCGUAGGCGGUUUGUUGCGUCGGCUGUGAAAUCCCGAGGCUCAACCUCGGGUCUGCAGUCGAUACGAGCAAACUAGAGUGUUGCAGGGGAGACUGGAAUUCCUGGUGUAGCGGUGGAAUGCGCAGAUAUCAGGAGGAACACCUAUAGCGAAGGCAGCUUGCUGGGACGUUACUGACGCUAAGGCGCGAAAGCGUGGGGAGCGAACAGG
rnacentral:rRNA from 1 species